UGCUGGAGGUAUCAGAAGUGCGAAUGCUGACAUAAGUAACGAUAAAGCGGGUGAAAAGCCCGCUCGCCGGAAGACCAAGGGUUCCUGUCCAACGUUAAUCGGGGCAGGGUGAGUCGACCCCUAAGGCGAGGCCGAAAGGCGUAGUCGAUGGGAAACAGGUUAAUAUUCCUGUACUUGGUGUUACUGCGAAGGGGGGACGGAGAAGGCUAUGUUAGCCGGGCGACGGUUGUCCCGGUUUAAGCAUGUAGGCUGGUUAUCCAGGCAAAUCCGGAUAAU
rnacentral:rRNA from 1 species